rnacentral:rRNA from 1 species
CUACGGGUCGCACCAGUGGGGAAUAUUGGACAAUGGGGGAAACCCUGAUCCAGCAAUGCCGCGUGUGUGAAGAAGGCCUGCGGGUUGUAAAGCACUUUCGGUUGGGAGGACUGCUUCUAGCACUAAUAUUGUUGGAAGUUGACGUUACCUUCAGAAGAAGCACCGGCUAACUCCGUGCCAGCAGCCGCGGUAAUACGGAGGGUGCAAGCGUUAAUCGGAAUUACUGGGCGUAAAGCGCGCGUAGGCGGCUAGAUCAGUCGGGUGUGAAAGCCCCGGGCUUAACCUGGGAACUGCAUCCGAUACUGGCUAGCUUGAGUACAGGAGAGGGGGGUAGAAUUCGAUAUGUAGCGGUGAAAAGCGUAGAUAUGUGGAGGAACACCAAUGGCGAAGGCAGCUCUCUGGCCUGAUACUGACGCUGAGGUGCGAAAGCGUGGGGAGAAAACAGGAUUAGAUACCCUAGUAGUC